rfam:Vibrio vulnificus YJ016 DNA, chromosome I, complete sequence.
GUAACAAAAAGGGCAAUUUAAAGUUCUACUGGCCGUCAAACUUGUUUCUUACUUUCUGUUACGUUGCUGCUUUAUCUUAUUAACUCCUAUGUUUGUAUCUGCCCAGACCCUAUUGGUACUGGGCUUUUUUUU